ensembl:lncRNA
AGGAAGAGAGGAAACCAAGGCAGUGAAGGAGGAAGGGGUGGAAGUGUGUGCCCUGACCCUAGGAAGGAGUGAGCAGGGAUGUGGGGCUCAUGGGCAUGGGGGCAAAGGCACUGAAGAGAGAUCAUUAAUGAAGAUGUGAAGUGAGACACCAAUCCUCACAGCCCCCACCACGUGCCCCCUCCCAUGUCACGCUGCUGGAAUCAUUAUCCUUCCUGGUGUGACAGGGUCAGAACCAAACCAAUUUGCAUCAAUCUUUGGUGAUGUUGUGAAGUGUCGCCUGCCCUGCAGUCCUCAUGUUGUAACAACUGCUUCAGCUGUCUCUUCUGGAGCGUUCCUCUGUCCUUUGGAGGGCUGAUCAGAUCUGGCCACUCCAGCUCACCUGGCUGAAAGCCCCAGUUAACAUAACAGUUAAGCAGGAUUCAAGGCUGCACGUGGCUGACAUUUUCCCUUUGUUUUGCUCUCCUGAGCUGGACAGAAAGUAGCACCUCUUUGGGAAACAGGGCGGACAAGUGCACACGCUGGUGAAGUGGAGGAGGGAAUGGGUGUGGCAGGCACAAGAUUUUUCUUCCUCAUCCUGACAUCUAUUUCUGCUGAAGGAAAAGGAGGAGUGAGGUUCCUGGGGCCCCUCCAUGGCCUAGUCAGAUGCCUGGGCUUGUAUAUUCCGGGGACCUGGGGCUGGAUGAGGCAUUUCUUAGGACAAAGACCAUUCUUCUCCACGAUUUUUGUAUGUCAUCUGGCCCUGAUGCUUUCAUCUCUUCUUUAUCAAUUCCACAACUCUGCUUCUCAUCUCACAGGGAAACCAACUUUAUAUACACACUUGUCUCCCAAUAAAGGUGAGAACCAUCCCUUACACACUCCUGGCAUCCCUCAGAUUCCAACUUGCAAGGAAGUUUUCUUUUCUUCAUUUUCUUCCCUGAUGGUGCAGCGCCUCUGUCUGGCUAUCUGUGAUGAGAACAUGAAGACCAUUUCAGCCUCUGCCCUGACCCAGGCCUACUCCUGACCCCUAACUCAUCUUUUCUUCCUUCUCUCCCAGCUGGGAGGGGGAAGGUGAGCAGGAAGAAAGCGGUGAAGGAAACUCACAGACACAACAUCUAAAGUAAUGUUUGGCAUGUGCUAGAGCUGGGGAAGUUUAGCCUUACGAAGCUACAGCAAAACUAGGUGAGAUAUUUUUCUCAGUGCAGGGACAGACCAAGGAAAAAGAGCUAUUUAAUAACACUGACUGACCACCUACUGAGUGAACAUUUUUCUGUUCCAGAGCAAAGGCCCUGUGGAGUGUGGGGAGAGGCAGGCCGUGGGAGCAGAUGUGGUUAGGGAACUAGUCGUUUCAUCCAGGUUACACGUGAUGGAGUAGACAGUCUAGGGCAGGGCUGGAUGCUUAGGAGGUGCUCAGCAAAUAUUUAGAGGUUUACAGAUUGAUAGACAUUUUCACAUACAAGAACAACUUUCAUUACCAUAAGCAAAUGUCAUCAAUGAACUGUGUGUGUGCAUGUACGCAUGUGCAUGUUAAUAGGCUGGGCAUUUUAAACCCUGUAUACCUAGCUCCAGAGGCUCUUUUCUCCCUAUCUUAUAAAAGCAAUCCAUGCUUCUGUGGAGAAAAGCAAAAAUUACCCAUAAUCCUCCAAACUGGCAGCAAGCACUGUUACC